AGCAUUGAAACAUUGAUUCCUGUACAAUCACCAAAGUUAAGCAAUGUCAAGCCUGGGCAGUAUCUAGAUGGGUGACCAUUUGGGAAUACCAGGUGCUGGAA